rnacentral:rRNA from 1 species
UACGGAGGGGGCUAGCGUUGUUCGGAAUUACUGGGCGUAAAGCGCACGUAGGCGGUUCGGCAAGUCAGAGGUGAAAUCCCCAGGCUCAACCUGGGAAUUGCCUUUGAUACUGCCGACUAGAGUCCGGGAGAGGGUAGUGGAAUUCCCAGUGUAGAGGUGAAAUUCGUAGAUAUUGGGAAGAACACCGGUGGCGAAGGCGGCUACCUGGACCGGUUCUGACGCUGAGGUGCGAAAGCGUGGGGAGCAAACAGG